AGAGUUUGAUCAUGGCUCAGGACGAACGCUGGCGGCGUGCUUAAUACAUGCAAGUCGAACGGGGUCCAACCGGUGGCAACACCGGUGAAGACCUAGUGGCGAACGGGUGAGUAGCACGUGAGCAACCUGCCCCGAAGACUGGGAUAACACCGGGAAACCGGUGCUAAUACCGGAUGUCCCCAUCAGACCGCAUGAUCUGAUGAGGAAAGGAUUUCUGCUUCGGGAGGGGCUCGCGGCCUAUCAGCUUGAUGGUGAGGUAAUGGCUCACCAUGGCGACGACGGGUAGCUGGUCUGAGAGGACGAUCAGCCACACUGGGACUGAGACACGGCCCAGACUCCUACGGGAGGCAGCAGUAGGGAAUCUUGCGCAAUGGGCGAAAGCCUGACGCAGCAACGCCGCGUGAGGGACGAAGGCUUUCUGAGUUGUAAACCUCUUUCAGCAGGGACGAUUGUGACGGUACCUGCAGAAGAAGCACCGGCCAACUACGUGCCAGCAGCCGCGGUGAUACGUAGGGUGCGAGCGUUGUCCGGAUUUAUUGGGCGUAAAGAGCUCGUAGGCGGUUCGAUAAGUCGGGUGUGAAAUCUCCAGGCUCAACCUGGAGUCGCCACUCGAUACUGUCGUGACUAGAGCCCGGUAGGGGACCAUGGAAUUCCUGGUGUAGCGGUGAAAUGCGCAGAUAUCAGGAGGAACACCAGUAGCGAAGGCGGUGGUCUGGGCCGGCACUGACGCUGAGGAGCGAAAGCGUGGGGAGCGAACAGGAUUAGAUACCCCCGUAGUCC
rnacentral:rRNA from 1 species